rnacentral:lncRNA from 1 species
GGCUGAAAUAGAACCGUUGGAGCACAUUAAAUGAACAUUAAAUGCAGUCAAAACGAGCUAAAAACUAGUCGUUGCUGAGUUUUUCCGUCGCAGAGGUCGACUCAUAGGGUCGACUCAUGGGGUCAGCUCAUAUGGCGCAGAAUAGAAAUUAACAGUUCUGUAUCUUUGACUUGCACAGCAACAGAGGUCGACUCAUAGGGUCGACUCAUGCACAGGGGUUGACUCAUGAGGUCGACUCAAUUGGGUAUGUCAGCUAAAAAUAAUAUGCUGUUCAGCCUCUUUUGACAUGAGUCGACUCAUGAGGUCGACUCAAAUUUAUAAAUAUGAUUUUCUUUCAAAAUACAUAUCCAAAAAUAUUGAAAUUGCCUCCAAUAAAUUAUAAAUCUUC